GGGUUGUGAGGUUAAGCGACUAAGCGUACACGGUGGAUGCCCUGGCAGUCAGAGGCGAUGAAGGGCGUGCUAAUCUGCGAUAAGCGCCGGUAAGGUGAUAUGAACCGUUAUAACCGGCGAUACCCGAAUGGGGAAACCCAGUGUGAUUCGUCACACUAUCAUUAACUGAAUCCAUAGGUUAAUGAGGCGAACCGGGGGAACUGAAACAUCUAAGUACCCCGAGGAAAAGAAAUCAACCGAGAUUCCCCCAGUAGCGGCGAGCGAACGGGGAGGAGCCCAGAGCCUGAAUCAGCAUGUGUGUUAGUGGAAGCGUCUGGAAAGGCGCGCGAUACAGGGUGACAGCCCCGUACACAAAAGCGCAUAUGCUGUGAGCUCGAUGAGUAGGGCGGGACACGUGGUAUCCUGUCUGAAUAUGGGGGGACCAUCCUCCAAGGCUAAAUACUCCUGACUGACCGAUAGUGAACCAGUACCGUGAGGGAAAGGCGAAAAGAACCCCGGCGAGGGGAGUGAAAAAGAACCUGAAACCGUGUACGUACAAGCAGUGGGAGCCCCACCACUAAGCCAGUGGUGAACUCCACAUACGCAUCCUUUGCUGAGGAGACGGUUAACGGAGCGAAAGCGACGUUCAACCUCAAAAGAAGCAGAGGGGGCUUAGUGGUGGGGUGACUGCGUACCUUUUGUAUAAUGGGUCAGCGACUUAUAUUCUGUAGCAAGGUUAACUGUAUAGGGGAGCCGGAGGGAAACCGAGUCUUAACCGGGCGUUAAGUUGCAGGGUAUAGACCCGAAACCCGGUGAUCUAGCCAUGGGCAGGUUGAAGGUUGGGUAACACUAACUGGAGGACCGAACCGACUAAUGUUGAAAAAUUAGCGGAUGACCUGUGGCUGGGGGUGAAAGGCCAAUCAAACCGGGAGAUAGCUGGUUCUCCCCGAAAGCUAUUUAGGUAGCGCCUCGUGAAUUCAUCUCCGGGGGUAGAGCACUGUUUCGGCUAGGG
rnacentral:rRNA from 1 species